AAAAACUCUCCUUUCUCUCCACCAUGGCUGCCGAAUGGCAGCUCUCUCACUCUCUCUCUCUCUCUUUCUUUCUUAGUUGAAAAGUAGGAAAUAAGAGAUGAAAGAGAAAAAUAAGCUACACUUUGUAUUAUAUGUGGAUUAUCUCAUAAUCUAUAUCCACUCUCCUUCUCUUCUUGCACAUGAUCCGGCCAUAUGGCCUUACUCUCUCUUUCU
rnacentral:lncRNA from 1 species